rnacentral:snRNA from 1 species
AUCGCUUCUCGGCCUUUUGGCUAAGAUCAAGUGUAGUAUCUGUUCUUAUCAGUUUAAUAAUUACUUUUUUAUCCUAGAUCUCCCUCUCCCCCCAAAAAAUCUGGAGAAGAGGCAGUCUCAUAUCUACAAGAAAAUUACUAUGUUAAGCAUUACAUAGGCCUGAGCAAGAAAAAAAGUAAUUGAUCUGGUUAUUUAAAUAAAACUGGUGGUGGUUGUCCAAU